rnacentral:tRNA from 1 species
GGCCGCGUAGCUCAGUUGGUAGAGCAAUUGGCUUACAUCCAAUAGGUCACAGGUUCGAGUCCUGUCGCGGCUA